UACAGAGGGUGCAAGCGUUGUUCGGAAUUAUUGGGCGUAAAGGGCCAGUAGGCGGCCAACUAAGUCGGAUGUGAAAUCCCCAGGCUUAACCUGGGAACUGCAUCCGAUACUGGAUGGCUUGAAUUCGGGAGAGGGAUGCAGAAUUCCUGGUGUAGCGGUGAAAUGCGCAGAUAUCAGGAGGAACACCGGUGGCGAAGGCGCCACUCUGGGGCCGAAACUGACGCUGAGGAGCGAAAGCGUGGGUAGCAAACAGG
rnacentral:rRNA from 1 species